AAAGAUAAGAUCCUCAAAUUGUCUAACUUGGUACCUGCUAAGUAGACACAGGGGCUCCCUUCUGCUUUCCUGCUUCCUUCUCUCUGUGCUCAUGCCAAGACCUCUGACCCAUCCACUGUCCCUGCCCCUUUCUUGUUAUUUCUCCUUCACUUCCUAAAGUCUUUUCCUCAAACGAUAUGGAAUUUCACUCUUUCUGGGGGACCUGGAAUAGGUCUUAGUUGUACCAUUGAUCUUAAAUGGGGUGACUCAUAAAUAAGACUGUCUGGGCUCAGACCCCAUAACCCUUAUUUACUCAUUGUGUUCCAUUUCAGAAAGUGACUUAAUUUUUCAGAGCUUGCUCAUCUAUUAAGUGAGAGUUAAUCAGAGCACCCACCUCAUAAGAUUGUGGUGAGGAAGAAAUGCAGUGAUACAGGCAGAGUACGUGUAACUGUGCUUGGAAUGGAAUGUGCAGGCCCACUAAAUACUGACUAGUGGUUUUAUUUGCUAAUUUGACAGAUACUUGAGUUCCUAACAGACAUGCUCCUUUCUGCCAAAGAGACCACAUCUUAAAAGGAAGUUAUACCUUCAACAAAUAUAAAUUACAUAUAGUUACAAAUUCAUAAGGGCAGUGAGGGAAGUGUCUACCUUGCUAUGAGAGCAUGUGUCAAAGGACCUGACAGCGUGAACUAGGAUCAAGGAAGACUCCCUGAUGGAAGGAACGUUUGAACUGAGGACUGAAGGAUGCAGGAAGCAUUAGAGGAAGGACAAAUGGAGAUAUCCUCCUACUUGAUCCUAUUCAAAUAGCUGUACAUUUUUCAGUAUCAGUAAUGUUCUAUUAAGAAAUUGGUGCUUAAAAUCAUUUGUUGUAAUUAGAUAUUUGCUGUUCAUAUUUAUUAUCAAGACAUUUGUUCUGUACUCUGACUGCUCUUAGCAUCAUUUUUUGGCCUUUGUUGUAUACAAUACAUACAUGCAUACAAUAUAUACUUUAAAUUAUAUCAUUUUUUAAAAUCACUGCUGAAUCCAUUUUCACCACUGCAUUUUUUUUAAGCACAACUGCUAGAUCCAGUGCUAACUUACUAGUAAAUAGUAUCUAAACUCCUGUUGACAGGAUUCAGUAAUCAGUGCGCAUCCACGCACCCUCCCCGUCAGAUUAUCUCUGUUCAAGAGAUCCUUCUUGCUACUGCCUUCAUGCCCCCUGCCAUUCAGGAACCAGACGAAACUCUAAAUCCAUAGAAGCAAAGGUCAUUGGCUGUGUUCCCUGCCUCUCCAUGGAGUUGAAUAUGCUGCUUCUUUCUGUUACCUUUUUGGUAUAUGUUCACAGGAAUCUUGCCCAUAUGGUCUGUAUUAGGUCAGCUUUCUGUUCUUAGCCAAACUAAAUCAAAAACAAUAGGAGGCAGUGGGUAAGGUUCUGUAGAAGGAGUGUCUCUAAUACACGUGAGUGGAGCUGAUUAUAAUCUAGAUGGGUUUUUUGUUUUUUGUUUGUUUUUUUUUUGAAAUCUGCAGGCUAUUUCUCUUUUUGAGUCAAUAUCUUCCAUGGGGCAGGAACUAUCAAACUCCUAGAUGCAGUGAAACAUUAGCUGCUUGUCUAUGGAGGAUAGAAAUCACACCUUGGCUUCUUUGCUUCCUGGCUGAAAACUAGACGUAGGCUAACUUCCCUCUGACUCAGAACCGAGGCAGUGCGAGGUUUUGUAUGCCCAAACCUAUCCUCAUUAGCUCACGAGACAAGUAGAGGUCAUGUCUGAAACCCAGGGCCGCAAGGAAACCAUGAAUCUCCCAGUGAGCUGGGAUGAUUUGGAUUACCACCUUUAGUUCAAUCUGGUCUGCCAGUACGUCUUGAAAUUUGAACUCAUCCACCACACUUAUUGCUCACUUUCCUGGGUUUUAGAAGUUGAUGCAAAAGAGGGGGUGUAUAGCUGGAAAAGCCACCCCUUUUUCCUCUUAGUGAUGUUCUUUGUCAUCACCCUUGACACUAAGUGUAAGCCCCAGGGGUAAAUGUUAGCAGAGAAUAGCUACAUUUUGCUCUUCUCUGCUAGCAUUUACCCAUGGCUCUCCCACCUCAUCCCCAUGCUUUAGAAACACUUGAUUGGAAUGUUUCCAGCCUUGCAGAAAGAAAUCAAAACCAGUGUCUUCUAUGAUAUUAUUUUAAAAUGGAUUGGGAAAUUGUGAAUUACUAGUUACAUGAUGUGUUUAAAAGUCUCUAUCGAGUCAUCGCCCAUAAUACUCUAAGUUUUAUGAAUCAGAUCAAUCAUCUCUCUCCAGUUUAGGAUUUGAAUCAAAAAUUCAGAUAAAAAUUGAACUAGAACAAACCUUUACCUCAUGGGAUAUAAGCCCCCAGGUGUUCAAACUUCUUUGAGUUAUCAGGAUUGAGUAUUCAGAUUCUCACAACUACCUCUGAAAUGUGUCAAAAGAGGACUUUGCGUCUAGGUAAGUUCAUUGUAAAACCCGACUCACAUCCUAAGGAUCUGUAAUAAUUCAGAGUCCCAGAGCCAAAAUAGCUCAGUUGGGAGAGCAUUAGAUUGAAAUAAUUUAGAGUCCCUCCUUGGAAGAAAGAAAGGUCUAUUAAAAUUAUUGAUAUAUUCCUUCACUUUUUCUUCCUUCUGGUAAUUCAGUAUAAUCUCAAUCUUAUCUUUUUUCUAAACAAUUGCAGUGAUUCCUGGCUUUUAACUUUAUUUAAAAAUAGGAGCUUAUUCUUGAUUAAAUUAAAAAGCAAAGCCCAAAAAGAAUUUUACCAACCUUCUAAAAGUAUUCAGUUCAUCAGAUAUUUUAUUAAUUGUGCUUUAUUAGUAGCAAAUACAGAAAAUCCAAUGUACUUUUCUUUCCCCACAAUUUAACAUGCAUCCUUCUAUCUCAAUCCAAAUAUUAUUUUAAAAACCAGUGAUCUGUGAUUUAUGUAUCACUGUCAAUGCAUUCCACACACAUUAGCACAUAACUAGAAAGUAAUAAUUUUUCAUGAGAAAUGAAUUGGAUUUUGUGAGAAUAAAAGGCCUGGAAGAGAUUAAGCCACAAAAAUUAGGAAAGCUACUUAUGGUUCAACACAGAGAAUACUGCAGAAUUUGUCAUAGCAAGGUAUCACAUAGUUUGGAAAACAAAUGCUAUCAACAUUUCAAGAUCACAGAUUGCAAGGGAGCUUUAAGAUUCAGGCUUUUUGAUAGGUGAACUUUCCUCAUUCAUUAUUCCUGGGUUAUGCCAUAUAUUUUUUAAAUGCAGUUAAAGUAGUUGGUAGUUACAGAUUAAGUGGAGCCAAAAGGCAAACUUAAUAAAUUAAAUCUGAAAGGAAUUCGAUGCAAUAGUCUAUGAGCUGAAUCCUUAGAUGUGAUUUUGACCACUGCAGUGAUAUUUAAAAACUUGAGUUUAAAUGUCCUUCAGGCAGCCCUAUAUUUUUAAUAGUCUAGUUAACUAUAGGACCAACCUCUCUCCUUUCUGCAAUACACCUGCUUCAUUCACCAUUUUAUAUGCUUUCCCUGGCCGGAUUUGAAUGAGUGAUCCUGGACUUAGUCUAACCUUCUCAGUAGUUAAAUUUAGAAGGUUUUACUUUGAAUGCUUACUUGGUAACAACUGUAUUGUUCAACAUUAGGGACACAUGAGUAAUAGGAUCCAAACCUUGUCCACACAUUUCUCCUCACAAGGGUUCAGUGACAUUAUAUCGAGAGGACUGACCUGGUGGAAGGAGUUACCAAAGACUUCCCUAAAUUCACCUAGACAUUCUAUUAGAAUACUGAGGCCCAGAGUAAGCUAGGAUUAGGACUUGCUUUCAUCUUUAAAGACAGCAUUCCUUCUACUCUGCUGUGAGUGUCAGAAGGAAUAGGGGGCCAAAGGAUCGGGAGCCUGAGUACCAUCGACAGCUCAUGAUGCUUCAGUGUCUUUUUACAACUGAUCCUGUAUUAGUCAUAACUCUUAGAAAAGCCUUCUCUUCCAGGGUCCUUUUGAGAGAAGAAUCUUACUUUUCUCUUGGUGUUCUUGAGGUCUACCUCUUACUUCCUCUACACACUUCACUGUCACUUGAAACAAUAACUUAAAACCUCAGCAAGCUCACUUGAUUUAUGCACUUGAUCAGAUGGAUUUUGGGGGUGUGUGAUGGAAGCUGACUCUUCCCACCUCAUGAUAGGCCUAGAGUCAGUCACAUAGGUGGUGGAUCUCUAACAAACAAAUGCACUCGUGUGAUUCAAAAUAACAGGGAAUCAGUUUGAUAAGCAAACACCUUGCGACCUGUAUUCACAUGAUCUACCCAUGAAAUUUUAAAAACUGAAAAUCAAAAUAACUAAAUUGCUCAAACCUUGAAGCCACCAGUGUCCCUUCAUAAAUAUUUCACCCUAGAGUGAAAAAGUACAAGGUUUUAAUCUGCAAACAUAAAUUUAAAUUAUCAUUUUGCUAUUUAAUUAUCAUGAAUUUCUGGAUUUUGAUGGAAAGGGUUGUUUACAAAAUGCUGAGAAUACUAUCUCUUUGUAAUAUGGUUGUGAGAUUUCAAAUAUUUAUAGCCUAAUAGAAACAAAAAGACAGCAAAAAUAAUCUCAGCCCUUUUGUUUUUCUACUAGUUAUUUUAAAUAUAUAUAUUUUAAUUUUACUGGAGUAUGGUUGAAUUACAAUGUUGUAUUAGUUUCAGGUGUACAGACAAGUGAACAUAGAUAGAUAGAGAUAGAAAUAUAUAGAUAUACCUCCAUUCUUUUUUCCCUUAUAGGCUACUACAGAAUAUUGAGUAGAUUUCCUGUGCUGUAUAGCUGUUAUUAAAAAUGACCAUCCUCUGCAACUACCUUGCAUUUCAGCAGUGUUCUCCUAUUACUUAUAUUCCAAGUCUAAACUCCAUAUCUGGUUCCUAUUCCUCCAUUCACUUCAGUAGAGGGAUUCAAAACGUCAAAGAUGUUGGCCUUCUCUUGCCCUCCUAGAAUCUCCAUUUCAUAUUUUAGUUGGGUAAACUUUCUUUCACCUCUUAGAAUGCUGAGUGCCUGCUAGGUAGUUUCAGAAUGUUUUUCCUUUGGAAAGAGUGCUUUGGAUAUUCCCAGGUGGUUAACACUUCGUUGCCUUGGCAUUUAAAGUUACUCAGGUCACGAUGUCAUUUCAUGGAAGAUAAAACAAGGUCUCCUACCCACACACUAGUCACAGUAAUUGAAAAUUGCAGAGUUAGGAUUUCUUAGUUUUUUGUUUGUUUGUUUGUUUGUUUGUUUGUUUUGCAAUUUCUCACUCUUCUCUUGAUCAUGUGAAUGAUGAACUGGGAUUUAAAAUAGCCCCAUUGUCCCUUCCCAAGAUAAGCCUGUAAUGCUGCUGCGUCACUGAGGUGUACAAUCUGUUUUUUUCUGUAUAAGGUAAUAGGACAAGGAUAUCUCUCCAGAAUAUGCAAUUAUCACUGAAAAAGUUCCAUGGAAACGAAGCAGCAAACCUGAAGCCAGUCCUGAAAUGAGCUAUUUAUUAUAUAAAAAUAAGGUCCACUCUUCACUAUUUAAUGUGGUAUCUUCUAAGCCAAAUGUUGACUAAACGUGACUCUUCUUUUGGGAAAAGAUAUUGGGACUGGAAAUAGGAAGAAGGAAACUAAAACCUCUUAGUUUAUAUAUUUAAUAUGAAUUUGCUAUUGUUAGUAACGUCAGUGCAUGGGUCGGUGUGGAAAAGAAGUUCAUUCCUCCACCUAAUAGAAUAGCUAAAAAGUCAGUGUGAAAACUUCCCUCCUUCACAGAGGAUCUUUCACAGGAGGGUCCAGAAUACUGGUACAAAUAAAUCAGUCUGUUUCCCAGCAUUCAUUCUUGAUCUAGAAGCCCAAUAAUUCCAGGUAAAACAUAAUUUCAAGAGCAGAUAGUUUAAAGGGGGACCAAGAGCUUUUUUAUUGGCAUUGGUCUGUUUAACAGGAUAGCCCCAAAUUCUUGGUAUCAGGAAUGGACAUGUGUGAGAUAAAAGUUGACUGUAAAGAUGCUAAGACCAAAAAAAAAAAAAAAAA
ensembl:lncRNA